rnacentral:lncRNA from 1 species
GAUCACCAACACUCCCCUCUAAGCACUUUCUCGGACCUCUUUAAGCUCUAUAGGAAUAAGAAUGACAUGGUAGCAAGUUACUUCAAUUCGAGUUCAAGAAGAUGGCAUCUCAAACUACUUUCUAAUUCUUCAUUUGAGGUAUGCACCCAAUUUGCCCACAUCUCUACCAUCUUGAGCUCUAUCAUGCUUUGUAGCAAUGAGGACCGGCU